rnacentral:rRNA from 1 species
GGCUCAGGAUGAACGCUGGCGGCGUGCCUAACACAUGCAAGUCGAACGAAGAGGUCCCUUCGGGGAUACUUCGGUGGCGGACGGGUGAGUAACACGUAGGUGACCUGCCCCGAAGUGUGGAAUAACAGUCCGAAAGGAUUGCUAAUACCGCAUGUGGUCUGUGAGGUUAGAGUCUUGCAGACUAAAGCAGUAAUGUGCUUCGGGAGGGGCCUGCGCCCCAUCAGCUAGUUGGUAGGGUAAUGGCCUACCAAGGCAACAACGGGUAGGGGGCCUGAGAGGGUGACCCCCCACAUUGGCACUGACACACGGGCCAAACUCCUACGGGAGGCAGCAGUGAGGAAUAUUGCUCAAUGGGCGAAAGCCUGAAGCAGCAACGCCGCGUGCGCGAUGAAGGCCUUCGGGUCGUAAAGCGCUUUUGAGAGGGACGAGAUAGGACGGUACCUCUCGAAUAAGUCACGGCUAACUACGUGCCAGCAGCCGCGGUAAAACGUAGGUGGCAAGCGUUAUCCGGAUUCACUGGGCGUAAAGCGCGUGCAGGUGGCUUCUUAAGUUGGACGUUAAAUCUCCCGGCCUAACCGGGAGGAGUCGUUCAAUACUGCGGGGCUGGAGGGCAGAAGAGGGGGGUGGAAUUGCUGGUGUAGUGGUGAAAUGCGUAGAUAUCAGCAGGAACACCCGUGGCGAAAGCGGCCCCCUGGUCUGCUCCUGACACUCAGACGCGAAAGCUAGGGGAGUGAACGGGAUUAGAAACCCCGGUAAUCCUAGCCGUAAACGAUGGAUGCUAGGUGUGGGUGGUAUUGACCCCAUCCGUGCCGAAGCUAACGCGUUAAGCAUCCCGCCUGG